UUUUUUCUUGUAAAGCAGCAUAUUGUAAAGAAAAACAAAGAAAAUACACUUCAACUUUUAAUGAUUUCAUUCUGAAAUGAAUUGAUAAUUUCUGGUAUUAUUCAUUGAUUUACAGAAUAUUGCUUGCUAGAUUGAAGAAAGAAAACGACAUAGUAAUUACAACGACGGACAAAACCACUCCCAUUGCUUCAUGGCAUAGGACAGAUAAAUCUGGGGAUCGAACCGACCAUGGAUUGGGGUAAAUUCUGACUACGAUGUCCUGUAUUUGUCUCUUAUGGAUGGAUUCUUUGGGUACAGGGUUCAGCCUUUUGGAACUCACAUAUAGGCGGGGAACACCUUAUACAUGAACAGUGCGAGUA
rnacentral:lncRNA from 1 species